UGAUGUCACUAAGUCAACUUUAGAUUAUCGACAUCAUUCUAUAAUAAACCUUCUGUCUUUGAAAUAAGGUGCAAUGGUUUAAAGGCGCUGUAACUGGUUACUAAUUUACGGCCGCUAGCCAUGAGUCUUGGUGGUCCAGUGGCGUGCGGGCUAGACUUCUAAGUUGAAGGACCGAGGAUCGAUCCCCGGAACGUGUUAACUUUUUGUAUGAUUAGUUUGUGUAUUUGAAUGAAUUAGAAUAAUAUUUGCGGUCAUGCCGAGAAAAAUUGUAACCGACACUUGAACUUGGAAUAGCGAAUCAUGUAGGCAUGUAUUCUCCACUGGUGCUGUGAUUUAAGAUUGUAAAAAGGAAUUUAUGGAAAUAUUUUGGAAUUUAAAUCUAGACAAUCCUACCAGUGGAUGUGACAUAAAUUUUGUUAUUUUGUGAGUGUCAAAUCAUCUACACCAAAGGGCGUAUCGUCAUGCCCUUUUGGUGUACGGCUGAAUGUGAAAAGUAUAAUCUGACUGAGCUAGCCUUUACCUCGGCAGCGGUUCGGCUGAGUACCUCGUCGGUCACCAGACGGAAACUCACCUGGCGUCCAAAUUUAGAUUAAUUAGUUAGUUAAGUAGGAUUAGUUAUUGUAAUAUAUAUAAAGUUAAUUUUUA